GAUGAACGCUGGCGGCGUGCCUAAUACAUGCAAGUCGAGCGAACAGACGAGGAGCUUGCUCCUCUGACGUUAGCGGCGGACGGGUGAGUAACACGUGGAUAACCUACCUAUAAGACUGGGAUAACUUCGGGAAACCGGAGCUAAUACCGGAUAAUAUAUCGAACCGCAUGGUUCAAUAGUGAAAGACGGUUUUGCUGUCACUUAUAGAUGGAUCCGCGCCGCAUUAGCUAGUUGGUAAGGUAACGGCUUACCAAGGCAACGAUGCGUAGCCGACCUGAGAGGGUGAUCGGCCACACUGGAACUGAGACACGGUCCAGACUCCUACGGGAGGCAGCAGUAGGGAAUCUUCCGCAAUGGGCGAAAGCUUGACGGAGCAACGCCGCGUGAGUGAUGAAGGUCUUCGGAUCGUAAAACUCUGUUAUUAGGGAAGAACAAAUGUGUAAGUAACUAUGCACGUCUUGACGGUACCUAAUCAGAAAGCCACGGCUAACUACGU
rnacentral:rRNA from 1 species